rnacentral:rRNA from 1 species
UAGGUGUAGUGGUAGGAGAGCGUUCUAAGGGCGUUGAAGGUCGAUCGUGAGGACGGCUGGAGCGCUUAGAAGUGAGAAUGCCGGUAUGAGUAGCGAAAGACAGGUGAGAAUCCUGUCCACCGUAUGACUAAGGUUUCCUGGGGAAGGCUCGUCCGCCCAGGGUUAGUCGGGACCUAAGCCGAGGCCGAUAGGCGUAGGCGAUGGACAACAGGUUGAUAUUCCUGUACCAGUUGUUUUUGUUUGAGCAAUGGAGGGACGCAGUAGGCUAAGGAAUGCAUGCGAUUGGAAGUGCAUGUCCAAGCAAUGAGUCUUGAGUAGAGUUAAAUGCUUUACUCUUUAAGGACAAGUUGUGACGGGGAGCGAAAUAAUAGUAGCGAAGUUCCUGAUGUCACACUGCCAAGAAAAGCUUCUAGUGAGAAAACAACUGCCCGUACCGUAAACCGACACAGGUAGUCGAGGAGAGUAUCCUAAGGUGAGCGAGCGAACUCUCGUUAAGGAACUCGGCAAAAUGACCCCGUAACUUCGGGAGAAGGGGUGCUGACUUCGGUCAGCCGCA